GGUAUCCUGUCUGAAUAUGGGGGGACCAUCCUCCAAGGCUAAAUACUCCUGACUGACCGAUAGUGAACCAGUACCGUGAGGGAAAGGCGAAAAGAACCCCGGCGAGGGGAGUGAAAAAGAACCUGAAACCGUGUACGUACAAGCAGUGGGAGCCUCUUAAUGGGGUGACUGCGUACCUUUUGUAUAAUGGGUCAGCGACUUAUAUUCUGUAGCAAGGUUAACCGAAUAGGGGAGCCGAAGGGAAACCGAGUCUUAACUGGGCGUUAAGUUGCAGGGUAUAGACCCGAAACCCGGUGAUCUAGCCAUGGGCAGGUUGAAGGUUGGGUAACACUAACUGGAGGACCGAACCGACUAAUGUUGAAAAAUUAGCGGAUGACUUGUGGCUGGGGGUGAAAGGCCAAUCAAACCGGGAGAUAGCUGGUUCUCCCCGAAAGCUAUUUAGGUAGCGCCUCGUGAAUUCAUCUCCGGGGGUAGAGCACUGUUUCGGCAAGGGGGUCAUCCCGACUUACCAACCCGAUGCAAACUGCGAAUACCGGAGAAUGUUAUCACGGGAGACACACGGCGGGUGCUAACGUCCGUCGUGAAGAGGGAAACAACCCAGACCGCCAGCUAAGGUCCCAAAGUCAUGGUUAAGUGGGAAACGAUGUGGGAAGGCCCAGACAGCCAGGAUGUUGGCUUAGAAGCAGCCAUCAUUUAAAGAAAGCGUAAUAGCUCACUGGUCGAGUCGGCCUGCGCGGAAGAUGUAACGGGGCUAAACCAUG
rnacentral:rRNA from 1 species